ensembl:lncRNA
UUAUAGAUACUGGAGUUGGUGCUGUUGCUAUAGAUACUGGAGUUGGUACUGUUGCUAUAGAUACUGGAGUUGGUGCUGUUGCUAUAGAUACUGGAGUUGGUGCUGCUGUUGCUAUAGAUACUGGAGUUGGUGAUGUUGCUAUAGAUACUGGAGUUGUUGGUGCUGCUGUUGCUAUAGAUACUGGAGUUGGUGCUGUUGCUUUAGAUACUGGAGUUGGUGCUGUUGCUAUAGAUACUGGAGUUGUUGGUGCUGCUGUUGCUAUAGAUACUGGAGUUGGUGCUGUUGCUAUAGAUACUGGAGUUGGUGCUGUUGCUAUAGAUACUGGAGCUGGUGCUGUUGCUAUAGAUACUGGAGUUGCUGCUGUUGCUAUAGAUACUGUUGCUAUAGAUACUGGAGUUGGUGCUGUUGCUAUGGAUACUGG